GAUGAAGAACGUAGCGAAAUGCGAUAAGUAAUGUGAAUUGCAGAAUUCAGUGAAUCAUCGAGUCUUUGAACGCACAUUGCGCCCCCUGGUAUUCCGGGGGGCAUGCCUGUCCGAGCGUCAUUGCUGCCCUCAAGCACGGCUUGUGUGUUGGGCCCCCGUCCCCGGUUUCCCCCGGGGACGGGCCCGAAAGGCAGCGGCGGCCCCGCGUCCGGUCCUCGAGCGUAUGGGGCUUUGUCACCCGCUCUGUAGGCCCGGCCGGCGCCAGCCGACACCCAACUUUAUUUCUAAGGUUGACCUCGGAUCAGGUAGGGAUACCCGCUGAACUUAAGCAUAUCAAUAAGCGGAGG
rnacentral:misc_RNA from 1 species